ensembl:lncRNA
ACAAACACACAAUAGGAGCACAACAGAGUGAGAGGGAAAUAAUGCACUUUUUUUCGAAUAUCUAAUGGUCCUGGCUCAUUAUGUGUCCUCCUGCGUUGGCUUUCCAUUGAGAAGACAAUCAGGCAUGUGUAUGUCUGAGACGGCUGUCAUGUUACGUAACAUCGUUUGAACGUAACAUACGGCUGAUAGUCCUCGAUGUGAGGUGCUGAUCGAUCGGCAGGAUGUGGUUCAGGAUUUUUCUUUUUUUUUCUCUCGACAGCUUUGUCUUAACAGCUAUUUCAUUCACAGGACUGCAUGCCUUCUACCUCACCAGGAAUAGGACAGCAGGAGAAGUGCCCACCAAUUGUUCCCGCUCUCAUGUCCCUGACAUGCAU